GACAUUAAUCUACUUGAUUCCUAUAAUAACAGCAUCAUCAGCUUUCAAACUACAAUAAUAGGAGUAACAUAUGACACUGCUAUUUUUAAUUUUAAAAUUUAAAAAAUAAAAUCCCCAAAAGUGCUAUCACUAUGCUAGCUAAUUAAAAGCAACAUGUCUGCAGCAGUCAAGGAGGCAUCACCUCAACACUACAAAUACAAAAAGUUGUACGGAAGGUAGACAUUAUAGCAGUACUUACUCCAUAAGUAACAGAGCAACAAAUUUCUCAAAGAAGGUAGACAUUAUAGCAGUGCUUACUCCAUAAGAUUUGUGUGUGUAGGAGGGGAGACAUGGAAAAGGAGCUGAAAGUUUCUGCUAGUUACAGAGAGAGUACCACCCGCCACCAAAAGUGACUG
rnacentral:lncRNA from 1 species